AAGUCGUAACAAGGUUUCCGUAGGUGAACCUGCGGAAGGAUCAUUAACACGUAUCCAACGUUAAAAACCCCGUGCAUUUUAACCCUGCUCUCUCUUCACCUCAAAAAGCAAUCUCUGGUAAAUCAUAUCAUAGAACAGUUUGAUUCAGAGACUUGGGGAUGGAGCGGUAGAGCAAAUAGACUUGGUUUCCGCAAGGAUAACUGACUCAGGUCGUUGACCCUCACGGUCAACGGACAGGUCUCUGGGGCUUCGGCUCCCCAUUAACCCCGCACAAAACGAACAACUGUUAACAAUGGAUAUCUUGGUUCUC
rnacentral:misc_RNA from 1 species